rnacentral:rRNA from 1 species
UAUAUAGAUAAUGUGCCUUUUAGUCUGGGAUAGCCAUUGGAAACGAUGAUUAAUACUAGAUACUCCUUCUUACUCUAAUGUAAGUUGGGAAAGUUUUUCGCUAAAAGAUCAGUCUAUAUCCCAUCAGUUAGUUGGUAAGGUAACGGCUUACCAAGGCAAUGACGGGUAGCGGGUUUGAGAGGAUGAUCCGCCACACUGGUACUGAGACACGGACCAGACUCCUACGGGAGGCAGCAGUGAGGAAUAUUGCACAAUGGGGGAAACCCUGAUGCAGCAACGCCGCGUGGAGGAUGACGCAUUUCGGUGUGUAAACUCCUUUU